AGUCGGCAACGACACCUCAGGGCCGGAAAGUUCUCCAAACUCGGUCAUUUAGAGGAAGUAAAAGUCGUAACAAGGUCUCCGUUGGUGAACCAGCGGAGGGAUCAUU
rnacentral:rRNA from 1 species